rnacentral:rRNA from 1 species
UACAGAGGUCCCAAGCGUUGUUCGGAUUCACUGGGCGUAAAGGGUGCGUAGGUGGUGAGGUAAGUCGGAUGUGAAAGCUCGGAGCUCAACUCCGAAAUGGCAUUGGAAACUACCUUGCUCGAGGGUUGGAGGGGGGACUGGAAUUCUCGGUGUAGCAGUGAAAUGCGUAGAUAUCGAGAGGAACACCAGUGGCGAAGGCGAGUCCCUGGACAACUCCUGACACUGAGGCACGAAGGUCAGGGGAGCAAACGGG